GUGCCACCAUGUUGUCCCCUCUGUCCCACAGACCCCCAGUGGUACCCGGCGAGACAGUCCCUGCGCCUCGACCCCAAGGGUCGCUCGCUGAAGGAUGAGGAUGUGCUGCAGUCACUGCCCGUGGGCACCACAGCCACGCUCUACUUCCGGGACCUGGGGGCUCAGAUCAGCUGGGUCACGGUGUUCCUGACGGAGUACGCGGGGCCGCUGCUCAUUUACCUGCUGUUCUAUUUUCGGGUGCCGUUCCUGUACGGGCCCCGCUACGACUUCACCGCCAGCCGGCACCGCGUCGUGCAGUGAGGGCUG